AUUGAACGCUGGCGGCAUGCCUUACACAUGCAAGUCGAACGGCAGCACGGGAGCUUGCUCCUGGUGGCGAGUGGCGAACGGGUGAGUAAUACAUCGGAACGUACCAUUGAGUGGGGGAUAACGUAGCGAAAGUUGCGCUAAUACCGCAUAUUCUGUGAGCAGGAAAGCAGGGGAUCGCAAGACCUUGCGCUCUGGGAGCGGCCGAUGUCGGAUUAGCUAGUUGGUGGGGUAAAGGCCUACCAAGGCGACGAUCCGUAGCGGGUCUGAGAGGAUGAUCCGCCACACUGGGACUGAGACACGGCCCAGACUCCUACGGGAGGCAGCAGUGGGGAAUUUUGGACAAUGGGCGGAAGCCUGAUCCAGCCAUGCCGCGUGAGUGAAGAAGGCCUCGG
rnacentral:rRNA from 1 species